GACGAACGCUGGCGGCGUGCUUAACACAUGCAAGUCGAACGGUGAAGGGACUGGUUUUGCUGGUCCUGGAUGAGUGGCGAACGGGUGAGUAACACGUGAGUAACCUGCCCCCUUCUUCUGGAUAACCGCAUGAAAGUGUGGCUAAUACGGGAUAUUCUGUGUCUGUCGCAUGGUGGGCCUGGGAUAGAUUGCGCCUUUUUUGGUGUUUUUGGUGGGGGAUGGGUUGGCGGCUUGUCACCUUGUUGGGGGGUUGCAGGUCUCCCAAGGGGGUGACGGGUAGCCGGGCUUGGAGGGUGGACGGGCACACUGGGACGGAGACACGGCCUGGACUCCUACGGCGGGCAGCAGUGGGGAAUAUUGCACAAUGGGCGCAAGCCGGAUGCAGCGACGCCGCGUGAGGGAUGGAGGCCGUCGGGUUGUGAACCUCUUUCGCCAGUGAAGCAGGCCUGCCUCUUUUUGUGGGUGGGUUGACGGUAGCUGGAUAAGAAGCGCCGGCUAACUACGUG
rnacentral:rRNA from 1 species